GCUGUGAACUCGAAGAGUAGGGCGGGACACGUGGUAUCCUGUCUGAAUAUGGGGGGACCAUCCUCCAAGGCUAAAUACUCCUGACUGACCGAUAGUGAACCAGUACCGUGAGGGAAAGGCGAAAAGAACCCCGGCGAGGGGAGUGAAAAAGAACCUGAAACCGUGUACGUACAAGCAGUGGGAGCACCUUCGGGUGUGACUGCGUACCUUUUGUAUAAUGGGUCAGCGACUUAUAUUCUGUAGCAAGGUUAACCGUAUAGGGGAGCCGAAGGGAAACCGAGUCUUAACUGGGCGUUAAGUUGCAGGGUAUAGACCCGAAACCCGGUGAUCUAGCCAUGGGCAGGUUGAAGGUUGGGUAACACUAACUGGAGGACCGAACCGACUAAUGUUGAAAAAUUAGCGGAUGACCUGUGGCUGGGGGUGAAAGGCCAAUCAAACCGGGAGAUAGCUGGUUCUCCCCGAAAGCUAUUUAGGUAGCGCCUCGUGAACUCAUCUUCGGGGGUAGAGCACUGUUUCGGCUAGGGGGCCAUCCCGGCUUACCAACCCGAUGCAAACUACGAAUACCGAAGAAUGUUAUCACGGGAGACACACGGCGGGUGCUAACGUCCGUCGUGAAGAGGGAAACAACCCAGACCGCCAGCUAAGGUCCCAAAGUCAUGGUUAAGUGGGAAACGAUGUGGGAAGGCCCAGACAGCCAGGAUGUUGGCUUAGAAGCAGCCAUCAUUUAAAGAAAGCGUAAUAGCUCACUGGUCGAGUCGGCCUGCGCGGAAGAUGUAACGGGGCUAAACCAUGCACCGAAGCUGCGGCAGCGACACUAUGUGUUGUUGGGUAGGGGAGCGUUCUGUAAGCCGUUGAAGGUGGCCUGUGAGGGCUGCUGGAGGUAUCAGAAGUGCGAAUGCUGACAUAAGUAACGAUAAAGCGGGUGAAAAGCCCGCUCGCCGGAAGACCAAGGGUUCCUGUCCAACGUUAAUCGGGGCAGGGUGAGUCGACCCCUAAGGCGAGGCCGAAAGGCGUAGUCGAUGGGAAACAGGUUAAUAUUCCUGUACUUGGUGUUACUGCGAAGGGGGGACGGAGAAGGCUAUGUUAGCCGGGCGACGGUUGUCCCGGUUUAAGCAUGUAGGCGGAGGUUCCAGGUAAAUCCGGUACCUUUUAACGCUGAGGUGUGAUGACGAGGCACUACGGUGCUGAAGUAACAAAUGCCCUGCUUCCAGGAAAAGCCUCUAAGCAUCAGGUAACAUCAAAUCGUACCCCAAACCGACACAGGUGGUCAGGUAGAGAAUACCAAGGCGCUUGAGAGAACUCGGGUGAAGGAACUAGGCAAAAUGGUGCCGUAACUUCGGGAGAAGGCACGCUGAUAUGUAGGUGAAGCCCCUGCGGGUGGAGCUGAAAUCAGUCGAAGAUACCAGCUGGCUGCAACUGUUUAUUAAAAACACAGCACUGUGCAAACACGAAAGUGGACGUAUACGGUGUGACGCCUGCCCGGUGCCGGAAGGUUAAUUGAUGGGGUUAGCGGUAACGCGAAGCUCUUGAUCGAAGCCCCGGUAAACGGCGGCCGUAACUAUAACGGUCCUAAGGUAGCGAAAUUCCUUGUCGGGUAAGUUCCGACCUGCACGAAUGGCGUAAUGAUGGCCAGGCUGUCUCCACCCGAGACUCAGUGAAAUUGAACUCGCUGUGAAGAUGCAGUGUACCCGCGGCAAGACGGAAAGACCCCGUGAACCUUUACUAUAGCUUGACACUGAACACUGGUCCUUGAUGUGUAGGAUAGGUGGGAGGCUUUGAAGCGUGGACGCCAGUCUGCGUGGAGCCAUCCUUGAAAUACCACCCUUUAAUGGCUGGUGUUCUAACGUAGACCCGUAAUCCGGGUUGCGGACAGUGUCUGGUGGGUAGUUUGACUGGGGCGGUCUCCUCCCAAAGAGUAACGGAGGAGCACGAAGGUUAGCUAAUCCUGGUCGGACAUCAGGAGGUUAGUGCAAUGGCAUAAGCUAGCUUGACUGCGAGAGUGACGGCUCGAGCAGGUGCGAAAGCAGGUCAUAGUGAUCCGGUGGUUCUGAAUGGAAGGGCCAUCGCUCAACGGAUAAAAGGUACUCCGGGGAUAACAGGCUGAUACCGCCCAAGAGUUCAUAUCGACGGCGGUGUUUGGCACCUCGAUGUCGGCUCAUCACAUCCUGGGGCUGAAGUAGGUCCCAAGGGUAUGGCUGUUCGCCAUUUAAAGUGGUACGCGAGCUGGGUUUAGAACGUCGUGAGACAGUUCGGUCCCUAUCUGCCGUGGGCGCUGGAGAAUUGAGGGGGGCUGCUCCUAGUACGAGAGGACCGGAGUGGACGCAUCACUGGUGUUCGGGUUGUCAUGCCAAUGGCACUGCCCGGUAGCUAAAUGCGGAAGAGAUAAGUGCUGAAAGCAUCUAAGCACGAAACUUGCCCCGAGAUGAGUUCUCCCUGACUCCUUGAGAGUCCUGAAGGAACGUUGAAGACGACGACGUUGAUAGGUCGGGUGUGUAAGCGCAGCGAUGCGUUGAGCUAACCGAUACUAAUGAACCGUGAGGCUUAACCUUACAACGCCGAAG
rnacentral:rRNA from 1 species